GUAUCAUCAUGGAUUCUUCUGCCAGCUAUGAAUAGGAUAUGAAAAGCUGGUGAUGUGGAGAUAUUAGCUGUCACCGAUGUCGUAUGGACUGAAUGACAGCCGGUGCAAUCAAUUCCUUGGAAGAAGUUGGAGACAUAUCCUUACCAACUCAACAGAACCUUUAGGAGUAAUGGUCUCUUGAAGUCUUGAGAAGUGUUCCCAGAAGCACGUUGGUACUGGAUUGGUGUAGUAGCUUUAUUUGGAUUUAUUCUUCUAUAUAUUCAACUUCCUUUUUAUUUUGGCACUUCAGUAUCUUCAACCUCUUGGUAAGCCUCAUGCAGUACUUUCCAAAGAGGCCUUGGCAAAGAAACAAGCCACCGAAACUAGAGAGGUCUUUGAAUUAUUGUCAACAGGAAAGAGCUAUAUUGGUGCAGCUAAUGAAAGAAUAAAUAAUGUGUUAGUCGAUCUUACUGAUUAGCGAGGAAUGGUUCUUCUUUUUAAAUCCCUCUCAGUUACAUCUGAUAAAAUCAGAUAUGCUGUUGACAUGCCACAGUGAAUGCCAGAUGCAAUAUAUGUCACCAAUUGAGGGAAUCUAAUGUAUUUUUGUUAUAUCUAACCAUUUUUGUAACCAAUAUCAAAAACAACUUUGGUUAGAAUAUUUUUUGAAAAACUGUAAAUAGCCAAGCUUGGUCUGUUUAGAACUUCGAUUUUUGGAACAUAUAAAUAUAUGAAACUGGUAGAACACCAGAUUUUGAAAUAUGUAAAUAUACAUCGUGCAACGAAAAUGUAUACAUAUACCCGCAGCAUCGCGCGGGAUAUCUAUCUAGUAUAUAUUAUGAGAGACAUCAGAAACCAAUGAAGACAAUAGGCUUGCAUUUUAAAUGACAGAGCUAAAUUUUUUCGGAUCUUCCCAUUUAUUGAAUGUAGGUCAUGGUUUAUGGUACAUGUAGCAAACAAAUUCUGAAUGUAAAACUGCCUCAGUGGUUCUGUGUUCGUUUCUCUCAAUGAAAAA